GGUGGCUCAGUGGUAGAGCGCUUGCCUUGUAUGCAUGAGCGCCUGGGUUCGAUUCCUCAGCACCA
rnacentral:tRNA from 1 species